CCAAGUAGCUCAGUUGGUUAGAGCGCCAGCCUGUCACGCUGGAGGUCGAGGGUUCGAGACCCUUCUUG
rnacentral:tRNA from 2 species